rnacentral:rRNA from 1 species
UACAGAGGUCUCGAGCGUUGUUCGGAUUCAUUGGGCGUAAAGGGCGCGUAGGCGGCGGGGUAAGUCUGGUGUGAAAUCUCGGAGCUCAACUCCGAAAUUGCACUGGAUACUGCUCUGCUAGAGGGCUGGAGAGGAGAUCGGAAUUCACGGUGUAGCAGUGAAAUGCGUAGAUAUCGUGAGGAAGACCAGUGCGAAGGCGGAUCUCUGGACAGCUCCUGACGCUGAGGCGCGAAGGCUAGGGGAGCAAACGGGG